GACGAACGCUGGCGGCGUGCUUAACACAUGCAAGUCGAGCGGAAAGGCGCGGCGGGGGACUCGAGCGGCGGACGGGCGAGCGAGAGGGUAGUAAGCAGGUCACGUGCUUGGGAUAAGGGGCGAACACGGGGGCUAGUAAGGUAAACGCGAAUACCACGCGAGGGGACUGGGUGGAAAGUUGUUCGGGUUGGGUGGGGCACGAGGUCAAUGAGCUUGUUGGUGGGGUGUUGGAGGUCCAAGGCGAGGACGGGUAGCCGGCCUGAGAGGGCGACCGGCCACACUGGCACUGAGACACGGCCCAGACUCCUACGGGGGGCAGCAGGGGGAAAUAUUGCACAAUGGGCGGAGGCCUGAUGGAGGGACUCCGCGUGGGGGAUGACGGCCUUCGGGUUGUAAACCUCUUUCAGCUGGGACGAAGCGUAAGUGACGGUACCUGCAGAAGAAGCGCCGGCCAACUACGUG
rnacentral:rRNA from 1 species